rnacentral:rRNA from 1 species
AUACGUAGGGUCCGAGCGUUAUCCGGAAUCAUUGGGCGUAAAGAGCUCGUAGGCGGUUCAGCAAGUCGGCUGUGAAAGUUCGAGGCUCAACCUCGAAAUUGCAGUCGAUACUGCUGUGACUCGAGUCCGGUAGAGGAGAAUGGAAUUCUCGGUGUAGCGGUGAAAUGCGCAGAUAUCGAGAGGAACACCAGUAGCGAAGGCGGUUCUCUGGGCCGGCACUGACGCUGAGGAGCGAAAGCGUGGGGAGCAAACAGGAUUAGAUACCCGAGUAGUCC